ACUCUAAGCGGUGGAUCACUCGGCUCAUGGGUCGAUGAAGAACGCAGCAAACUGUGCGUCAUCGUGUGAACUGCAGGACACAUGAACAUCGACAUUUUGAACGCAUAUCGCAGUCCAUGCUGUUAUGUACUUUAAUUAAUUUUAUAGUGCUGCUUGGACUACAUAUGGUUGAGGGUUGUAAGACUAUGCUAAUUAAGUUGCUUAUAAAUUUUUAUAAGCAUAUGGUAUAUUAUUGGAUAAAUAUAAUAAUUUUUAUUCAUAAUAUUAAAAAAUAAAUGAAAAACAUUAUCUCACAUUUGAAUGUGAAAAACGAAGAGAAAUAUUUUCUUUUUCAAUCAAAUAAUACUGAGAAAUGUCUAGCAUAAAAAAUUGAAAUAUUUUUCAUCUAGAAUUGUCUCUUAUUAAUGAUUCGGAAAUAGAAAAAUCUUGGUUAUGUUAUUAUUCUUCGUUGGUUCGUUAAAAAUGGAUAAAUAAAAACUUUGCAUACAAGAAUUAAUAAAAAUGUUAUAACGAAUUUAAUUAAAUGUUUUAUCAUUAUAUAUAAAGAAUUUAUGGCAAGAUAAAGUUAUAUACAACCUCAACUCAUAUGGGACUACCCCCUGAAUUUAAGCAUAUUAAUUAGGGGAGGAAAAGAAACUAACAAGGAUUUUCUUAGUAGCGGCGAGCGAAAAGAAAACAGUUCAGCACUAAGUCACUUUGUCUAUAUGGCAAAUGUGAGAUGCAGUGUAUGGAGCGUCAAUAUUCUAGUAUGAGAAAUUAACGAUUUAAGUCCUUCUUAAAUGAGGCCAUUUACCCAUAGAGGGUGCCAGGCCCGUAUAACGUUAAUGAUUACUAGAUGAUGUUUCCAAAGAGUCGUGUUGCUUGAUAGUGCAGCACUAAGUGGGUGGUAAACUCCAUCUAAAACUAAAUAUAACCAUGAGACCGAUAGUAAACAAGUACCGUGAGGGAAAGUUGAAAAGAACUCUGAAUAGAGAGUUAAACAGUACGUGAAACUGCUUAGAGGUUAAGCCCGAUGAACCUGAAUAUCCGUUAUGGAAAAUUCAUCAUUAAAAUUGUAAUAUUUAAAUAAUAUUAUGAGAAUAGUGUGCAUUUUUUCCAUAUAAGGACAUUGUAAUCUAUUAGCAUAUACCAAAUUUAUCAUAAAAUAUAACUUAUAGUUUAUUCCAAUUAAAUUGCUUGCAUUUUAACACAGAAUAAAUGUUAUUAAUUUGAUAAAGUGCUGAUAGAUUUAUAUGAUUACAGUGCGUUAAUUUUUCGGAAUUAUAUAAUGGCAUAAUUAUCAUUGAUUUUUGUGUUUAUUAUAUGCACUUGUAUGAUUAACAAUGCGAAAGAUUCAGGAUACCUUCGGGACCCGUCUUGAAACACGGACCAAGGAGUCUAACAUAUGUGCAAGUUAUUGGGAUAUAAACCUAAUAGCGUAAUUAACUUGACUAAUAAUGGGAUUAGUUUUUUAGCUAUUUAUAGCUAAUUAACACAAUCCCGGGGCGUUCUAUAUAGUUAUGUAUAAUGUAUAUUUAUAUUAUUUAUGCCUCUAACUGGAACGUACCUUGAGCAUAUAUGCUGUGACCCGAAAGAUGGUGAACUAUACUUGAUCAGGUUGAAGUCAGGGGAAACCCUGAUGGAAGACCGAAACAGUUCUGACGUGCAAAUCGAUUGUCAGAAUUGAGUAUAGGGGCGAAAGACCAAUCGAACCAUCUAGUAGCUGGUUCCUUCCGAAGUUUCCCUCAGGAUAGCUGGUGCAUUUUAAUAUUAUAUAAAAUAAUCUUAUCUGGUAAAGCGAAUGAUUAGAGGCCUUAGGGUCGAAACGAUCUUAACCUAUUCUCAAACUUUAAAUGGGUAAGAACCUUAACUUUCUUGAUAUGAAGUUCAAGGUUAUGAUAUAAUGUGCCCAGUGGGCCACUUUUGGUAAGCAGAACUGGCGCUGUGGGAUGAACCAAACGUAAUGUUACGGUGCCCAAAUUAACAACUCAUGCAGAUACCAUGAAAGGCGUUGGUUGCUUAAAACAGCAGGACGGUGAUCAUGGAAGUCGAAAUCCGCUAAGGAGUGUGUAACAACUCACCUGCCGAAGCAACUAGCCCUUAAAAUGGAUGGCGCUUAAGUUGUAUACCUAUACAUUACCGCUAAAGUAGAUGAUUUAUAUUACUUGUGAUAUAAAUUUUGAAACUUUAGUGAGUAGGAAGGUACAAUGGUAUGCGUAGAAGUGUUUGGCGUAAGCCUGCAUGGAGCUGCCAUUGGUACAGAUCUUGGUGGUAGUAGCAAAUAAUCGAAUGAGACCUUGGAGGACUGAAGUGGAGAAGGGUUUCGUGUGAACAGUGGUUGAUCACGAGUUAGUCGGUCCUAAGUUCAAGGCGAAAGCCGAAAAUUUUCAAGUAAAACAAAAAUGCCUAACUAUAUAAACAAAGCGAAUUAUAAUACACUUGAAUAAUUUUGAACGAAAGGGAAUACGGUUCCAAUUCCGUAACCUGUUGAGUAUCCGUUUGUUAUUAAAUAUGGGCCUCGUGCUCAUCCUGGCAACAGGAACGACCAUAAAGAAGCCGUCGAGAGAUAUCGGAAGAGUUUUCUUUUCUGUUUUAUAGCCGUACUACCAUGGAAGUCUUUCGCAGAGAGAUAUGGUAGAUGGGCUAGAAGAGCAUGACAUAUACUGUUGUGUCGAUAUUUUCUCCUCGGACCUUGAAAAUUUAUGGUGGGGACACGCAAACUUCUCAACAGGCCGUACCAAUAUCCGCAGCUGGUCUCCAAGGUGAAGAGUCUCUAGUCGAUAGAAUAAUGUAGGUAAGGGAAGUCGGCAAAUUAGAUCCGUAACUUCGGGAUAAGGAUUGGCUCUGAAGAUUGAGAUAGUCGGGCUUGAUUGGGAAACAAUAACAUGGUUUAUGUGCUCGUUCUGGGUAAAUAGAGUUUCUAGCAUUUAUGUUAGUUACUUGUUCCCCGGAUAGUUUAGUUACGUAGCCAAUUGUGGAACUUUCUUGCUAAAAUUUUUAAGAAUACUAUUUGGGUUAAACCAAUUAGUUCUUAUUAAUUAUAACGAUUAUCAAUUAACAAUCAAUUCAGAACUGGCACGGACUUGGGGAAUCCGACUGUCUAAUUAAAACAAAGCAUUGUGAUGGCCCUAGCGGGUGUUGACACAAUGUGAUUUCUGCCCAGUGCUCUGAAUGUCAAAGUGAAGAAAUUCAAGUAAGCGCGGGUCAACGGCGGGAGUAACUAUGACUCUCUUAAGGUAGCCAAAUGCCUCGUCAUCUAAUUAGUGACGCGCAUGAAUGGAUUAACGAGAUUCCUACUGUCCCUA
rnacentral:rRNA from 1 species